UAUCAAUUGAGAUAUUUUUAUUAUUACUUGAUAUUAUAUAUAUAUUAUAUAUAUAUAUUGUGUGGUAGAGAUUGAAAGAAGAAGAAAAGUAUAAGAAGAGUAGGUAGAAAGAGAGAAAGAGUUAUCAGAAAGAAAGAAAAGAAGAAAGUGAAGAGUAGAGAAGAGGAAAAGAGAAAGAGGAAAGGAAAAAGAGGAAGAAGAGGAGAAGAAGAGGAAGGAGCCACCACCACCAUCAUGUCAUCUUCAUCACCACCAACUUCAUCUUCUUCUUCUACUAGGUGAGUUCUUAGAUAGUUUUAGCAUUGGGGGAAAAUAAUCUAUAUUUGUGGGGACACCACCACCAUCAUGUCAUCUUCAUCACCACCAACUUCAUCUUCUUCUUCUACUAGGUGAGUUCUUAGAUAGUUUUAGCAUUGGGGGAAAAUAAUCUAUAUUUGUGGGGU
rnacentral:lncRNA from 1 species